AUGCACAACUCCAGUGUCAUCUCCCACCCCAAAGGGAACGUUUCACCAAAAGAAAAGUCAGCAGUCGAAGACACCGACAAGCCAGUCGUACCAGAGAUGCAGGUGGAGGUUUCAGCAGUCGCCUGUACAGAGCUGUGUUCUGACUCGCACCAGUACAGAGUUUGUCAUCCUAUCUGCCUAGCGGAUGUAUAUCCAGCCAAGAGCCCUUGGCUUAGAAAGAGACUCUAUGUGGCCCUGGAUUCACAGAGCGACGCCUCCCUGGCUACUCCAGAGUUCUUCCGCAUGUUUGACCUUAAAACCAAGAUGGUUGACUACACUAUGACUACGUGUGCAGGAAAAAAGAAGUUGCAGGGUCGCAUAGCAUCUGGCUUUGUUGUCUCCUCUUGCGACCAGAAGAGGCAGUUCAAGUUGCCAGACCUGAUUGAGUGUUCCUCCAUCCCUCGGAACAAAAAACAAAUUGUAACUAGAGAAGUUGUGGAGGCUCAUCCACAUUUGCGACGAUUAAAGAAUGCCAUACCUGCUUUCCGUCCAGAUGUGGACAUUGCCCUUCUGCUUGGUGCGGACUGUCCGAACUUGUUCUAUGUGAACAACCAAGUUAAGGGACCUCCAGGGGCGCCCAUUGCUCAGCUGCUACCACUAGGCUGGACAGUUACAGGCCCAGUGUGCAUAAACAAGAUGCACCCACCAUCGUCGUUGGACUCCAAUCAAGCACAGGUGCUUAAAGGUGGACGUCCUACACUUGUGCGCAGUUGCCUAAGUCACAUCUCAGUCUACUGCCAAGCAAUAACUCCAGAGUAUUCCUCCAUCUUCAAAGUCUCUGAGAGAGACGAAGCCACAGCGCUCUCGAAAGAUGAGCAAAGGUUUUCGGACAUUAUGAAUGCUCAAGUCUCACGAAGUGCAGAGGUGAAAGCCUGCAAAUCAACCACAGAAAUCAAGAUGGGCCAAAGAUCUUGCCUGGAACCACACCGUUUUGAAUGUUUUUCGGAGUGGCACAGUCUUCUUAGAGCAGUUGCUAGGCUUAUACAUCGUUUAGCUUGCAAAGAUAGUGAGCCUUUACAGGUCCAGGAUAUGAUAAAGGCUAAGAGCGUCAUAUUCAAGUCAGUACAGAGAUCUGCUUUCAAGCAGGAAAUAGCUAGGCUAGAGCAAGGGCUCAACAUCCCUAAUCAAAGUCUUCUAAAUGAGUUAAACCCAUUUCUAGACAAGGAGGGUAUUUUGAGAGUUGGAGGAAGGUUAGCCAAAGCUAAACUCAAGGCGUGCAUAAAAAACCCCAUCAUCAUACCCCCUAAUAGUCACACUGCAUUGCUGCUCGUUCGGCAUCACCAUGAAAGGAUCCAUCAUCAGGGUAGAACUCUAACUGAGGCAGCCCUUAGAAAUGAAGGUCUGUGGGUAGUUAAUGCCAAAAGGUUGGUCAACAGUUGUAUUUUCAAAUGUGUUAAAUGCAGGCGCCUUAGGCGAAACUGUCAAAGUCAGUUGAUGGCAGAACUACCUCAGGAUAGGACUUUGACAGACCCACCCUUUUCCCAUGUGGGAAUCGAUGUGUUUGGUCCUUGGGAGGUUGUCACUAGGAAAACCAGGGGUGGUGUUGUAAAUAACAAGAGGUGGGCAGUUUUGUUUACUUGUUUAGUAAUACGAGCUGUCCAUAUAGAAGUCAUAGAAGGGAUGGACACUUCAUCAUUUUUAAACGCAUUAAAAAGGUUCAUAGCCCUCAGAGGGCCAAUUAAGUCAAUUCGGUCGGACUGUGGCACCAAUUUUGUAGGUGCGACCAAAGAACUCAAUUGUGUGUCUAGGUUUGGGAGAGACCCAAAGGUUCAGAACUUUACGAAUACUGAACAAAUUAUGUGGACUUUCAAUGUUCCUCACGCCUCCCACAUGGGUGGUGUUUGGGAGAGGAUGAUUGGUAUUAGUCGCAAAAUCCUUAAUGCCAUGCUUUUGAGUCAUAGGUCAUUGACGCAUGAUGUUUUGGUGACACUUAUGGCGGAAGUUACCGCAAUUAUCAACAACCGGCCGCUGGUUCCCCUUACCAGUGACCCUGAGAACUUACAACCACUGACUCCUGCACUUAUUUUGACACAAAAGGUGCCAGGAUGGAAGGACAUCAUGUUGCCAGUUCCGGACGGAACUCACCGUGCCCUGUGGAAACAGGUGCAGUCCUUGGCCAACCACUUUUGGAAAAGGUGGAAAGCUGAGUACUUAAGCCAGCUUCAAGCUAGAAGAAUCUGGCAAAGCCCACAGGACAACAUUGAGGUUAACAACGUUGUGUUGUUAAAGGACAAAGACUUGCCCCGCCAUGCAUGGCCCAUGGGCAUUGUAUUAAAGACCUUUCCUUGCCCGGACGGUAAGGUCAGGAAAGUUCAAUUAAAGACUUGCAACAGAGGCAAAGUGUCCAUUUUGGACAGACCAAUUAGUGACCUCGUGUUGCUUAUUGGAGAUGUUUAA
rnacentral:lncRNA from 1 species